GUUCACUUGAGCCAGUUCCUAUGGAAACGUUUUUAAGAUUAUUGAGAUUUAAGGAGCUGUAACAUUGUUGCUCUGUCUGUCUAGGCCUCAACAUAAACACGAGGCGUUGUAUGACGAAAAGGUGGUUUAUAAACACAAGCCUGUGAACACACUUAUGUGUUAUGGAUUCUUAAGUCAACAGAAAUGCACUUGUUUUGCUUAGAGGUUGCAUAGUGGUGUCUGACGAUAAGCUAGUGAUGCUGUAUUCACCAGCUGCUAUUCAGAGAAAGAUGCGAUGGCCCACUGAAACGUGUGAAGAGCAGUAGGAGGAAUAUCAAAUGAGAGGAAUACUAGGUCAACACCGCAGCCCUUAACCUGAGCACAGGAGGAAUGGACCAGCGAGAUGAACGCCUCUCCAGGGACACAAUGAGAACUAGAGACGCCAGCGAGAAAGUUUCCUCUAGUGCCCGCUGAGAUCUCUAUAUCCCUCCACACGUGCCAGACACCCCUCUGGCUGCCCUUCUCGCCGUACCCACCCUGCUCUGCACAGAUGUCCCCCCCACACCCCGACACACCUCACACGCUGCAGCCCCCUGAGGAGGACAACCUUCACGGCUAUACAUCAGCCCAAGCCAUCAUGGUGAUGCGACAUCUGCGUAGAUCACUAGUUAGUGUACGUGAAUGCUCUUGGCUGUGGAGUGUGAUGCAAACAGGUAAAUACAAAUAUAACAAAAUCUGCUCUAGAGAAGGAUUGGUUUGGACAAAAAAGCAUGUUUUUGUAAACGACUGGUUGGUGGAUUUAUUCUGGAAAAAGCCAAGCUUGAGUUGGGACCAGGGUUGCCAAGUUUGGUAGUUUUGGGAUAUUUUUAUUUCCGUUGGUCAAAAGAAGAAUAUAAUUCAUCGGUUGUAAUUAUUAAGUUAAGGAAAAAGACUGUGUUCAUGUGACUAAACAGUGAUUUCCAAUAAGAAAUUGUAUAAUUCAUAACAGUGAGUGUAAAACGUGUGGUACAGAAGUGGAAUAUUUUGA